rnacentral:rRNA from 1 species
UACGUAGGGCGCAAGCGUUGUCCGGAAUUAUUGGGCGUAAAGAGCUCGUAGGCGGUCUGUUACGUCCGCCGUGAAAACCCAGGGCUUAACCCUGGGCUUGCAGUGGAUACGGGCAGACUAGAGGCAGGUAGGGGAGAAUGGAAUUCCCGGUGUAGCGGUGAAAUGCGCAGAUAUCGGGAGGAACACCAGUGGCGAAGGCGAUCUUCUGGACGGAUACUGACGCUGAGGC